CCGAGUGAACCCGGGGGCGUGGGAACCGCCCCCCCCGCCGCUCCCCACGGUCCCGCCGUGACUCAGCGCCGGUUCCCGCCGGUGACAUCAGCCCCCGGUGCCCGUCCCGGCGCUGCGAAGGCACCGGGACCCUCCGGAUCCCCGUCGCGAACCCCCCGGGACUGCGGGGGACGGGGCCGGUGCACUCCGGUACCGGGAUCCGAUCCUCAGCCCGGUCCCGGUGACCCCCGGGGGGGAGUUCCCACCGCUCCGGUACCGGGAACAGCUCCAGCCCGGGACGGUGCUCGAGGGGUUACCGGGAUAUCCCGGGAGAGGUCCCGGAGGUACCGGGAGGGAUCCCGGGGGGGAUUACCGGAGGUCCCGGGGGCUCCUGGAGGACGCCAGGGGAUCCCGGGGGCGGAAACGCGGAGAUCACCGGCGGGAUCCCGGCGAGAUCCCGGCAGGUCACCGGGGGAAGCCCACACCGGGGAGACGCCCCGGAGGGGGCGGGGGAUACCGGGGAUCCCCGGGGUGGGGGUGGGGCGGCGGUGUUACCGGUGUGGGGGAGGGGCUCGGGGCUCUCGGGGGGUUCCCGGGACCGGGAACCGGAGGACCCGGCCGGGUUUUCGGGGGUCCUUGUCCCGUUCCCGGUAUCCUGGGGAACCCGGUCCAUUCUCGGGGUCCCGGGUCCAUUCCCGGUGUUCGGGGGACCCCGGUCCAUUCCCGGUGUCCCGGUCCAUUCCCGGGGGUCCCGGCCCCGGUUGUCCCGGAGGGUUCGGGGUGUCCCGAUCCAUUCCCGAGGGUCCCGUUCCCGGUGUCCAGGAAGGUUCGGGGGGUCCCGAUCCAUUCCCGGUGUCCCGGUCCAUUCCCGAGGGUCCCGUUCCCGGUGUCCAGGAAGGUUCGGGGGGUCCCGAUCCAUUCCCGGUGUCCCGGUCCAUUCCCGGUGUCCCGGCCCCGGUUGUCCCGGUUGUCCCGGAGGGUUCGGGGGACCCCGGUCCAUUCCCGGUGUCCCGGUCCAUUCCCGGUGUCCCGGCCCCGGUUGUCCCGGAGGGUUCGGGGGGUUCCGGUCCAUUCCCGGUGUCCCGGUCCAUUCCCGGGGGUCCCGUUCCCGGUGUCCCGGUCCAUUUCCGGGGUCCCGUUCCCGGUGUCCCGGAGGGUUCGGGGGGUCCCGGUCCCGUUCCCGCUGUCACGGUCCAUUCCCGGGGGUCCCGGCCCCGGUUGUCCCGGUCCAUUCCCGGUGUCCCGGUCCAUUCCCGGGGGUCCCGGCCCCGGUUGUCCCGGUCCAUUCCCGGUGACCCGGUCCAUUCCCGGUGUCCCGGUCCAUUCCCGGGGGUUCCGUUCCCGGUGUCCCGGUCCAUUCCCGGGAGUCCCGGCCCCGGUUGUCCUGGUCCAUUCCCGGUGUCCCGGUCCAUUCCCGGUUGUCUCGGUCCAUUCCCGGGAGUCCCGGCCCCGGUUGUCCCGGUUGUCCCGGAGGGUUCGAGGGGUCCCGGUCCACUCCCAGUGUCCCGGUCCAUUCCCGGGGGUUCCGUUCCCGGUGUCCCGGUCCAUUCCCCGGGGGUCCCGGCCCCGGUUGUCUCGGUCCAUUCCCGGGGGUUCCGUUCCCGGUGUCCCGGUCCAUUCCCGGGAGUCCCGGCCCCGGUUGUCCCGGUCCAUUCCCGGUGUCCCGGUCCAUUCCCGGUGUCCCGGCCCCGCUUGUCCCGGUUGUCCCGGAGGGUUCGGGGGGUCCCGGUCCAUUCCCGGUGUCCCGGUCCAUUCCCGGUGUCCCGGCCCCGUUGUCCCGGUUGUCCCGGAGGGUUCGGGGUGUCCCGGUCCAUUCCCGGUGUCCCGGCCCCGUUGUCCCGGUUGUCCCGGAGGGUUCGGGCCGUUUCUAGAACCGCGGCCGGUCCCGUUUCUAUUAAUACGCGGCCGCGCUGCGGCGGCGGCGGCGGCGGCGGCGGCGGCGGCGGCGGCGGAGGGAAUCCCUGUGACGUCAUUGCUAGGAUACCAAACAAACACUCCAGACAAGCCCAAAUUUGGUUAAUUGCGUCACAGGAACUCCGGGGGGCGGGGCCGGGGGAUCCCCCCCGCUCCCGGCGCUCCCCGCCGCCUCUUAACGGCGGCGGCGGCUCCCGGAGCCUCAAACGGCGACGGCGGCCGCGGCCACGGCGGUUCGGAGCUCCGGGAGGGUUCCGGGGGGUCCCGGUGGUCCCGGAGAAGCGGCGGCGGCCGCCGUGA
ensembl:lncRNA